AAAGAAAGCGUAAUAGCUCACUGGUCGAGUCGGCCUGCGCGGAAGAUGUAACGGGGCUAAACCAUGCACCGAAGCUGCGGCAGCGACACUCAGGUGUUGUUGGGUAGGGGAGCGUUCUGUAAGCCUGUGAAGGUGUGUCGUGAGGCAUGCUGGAGGUAUCAGAAGUGCGAAUGCUGACAUAAGUAACGAUAAAGCGGGUGAAAAGCCCGCUCGCCGGAAG
rnacentral:rRNA from 1 species